AUGAUGCUGAUUCUGCAACUGCAAGAGGCUGCAAGGCAUCUUGCGAGGCAUCGAUCGGCGAAUGCGAUUUGCAAUGAGAUUGUGUCAGCGGCCUCCGUUCCUUCUCUGAGGGCACCUGCUGCAAAUACAACUACCAGCGCAGGUAGGGUGCUUCGAAACCUACUACAGAGGUACCGAUCAACCUCUGCUGGGCAGAGGAUACGGGGCGUGCACUCUCACGCCGCUUCUCUUCGUAGCAACAUUUCUAGGAGUUAUCCAGAAAGAGUUAUACAAAACUUCAGAGGGCAGCCCACGUUACAUUCCAACACACCUGCUGCAAAUACAACUACUGGUGCAGGCAGUGUGCUUAGAAAUCUACAACAGAGGUACCGAUCAAGUUUCGCUGGUCAGAGGAUACGGGGCAUGCACUCUGACACCGCUUCUCUUCCUAAAGAGUUUUAUAGGGGUGAUACAGAAGGAGUCAUACAGAACUUCAAAAGGCUAAGUCAAGCAGGAAUUUCAAAUGCAGCAAGGGAGGAAGGACGUGUUCUUGGUACAGCUAGUGCACCCUAUUACAUGGUAGAGAAAGGCCUACUUAAAAAGCAGCUUCUGCGUACCUCUGGAGGCCUUGUAGUUGCUGGCUUUGCAGUCUAUGCGAUUGGUAAACUGGAGGAAGCGGAGGUCGGCAAGUUUGAAGGUUUGAAAGAAGUGCCUAGGGAUUCGAGCACGAAACUCAGUGACGUGAAGGGGGUCGAUGAAGCCAAAGCUGAGCUCGAGGACAUAGUUCACUACCUACGAGAUCCAUAUCGUUUCAACCGCCUUGGUGGCAAGCUUCCAAAGGGUAUUUUGCUUGUGGGCCCACCUGGCACAGGGAAGACCAUGUUGGCAAGGGCCGUGGCUGGGAAAGCCGGCGUCCCUUUCUUCGCGUGCAGUGGCAGUGCUUUCGAGGAGACUUAUGUGGGUGUUGGCGCAAAGAGGGUGAGGGAGCUCUUCGCUGCGGCAAGGAAGCGAGCUCCUUGCAUAAUAUUCAUCGAUGAACUUGAUGCCGUCGGUGGGCGCAGAACUGCAGAAGAACCAUCGUGGUCAAAGCAGACUCUGAACCAACUGCUUGUUGAGAUGGAUGGCUUCAAGCAGAAUGAAGGGAUCAUCGUCGUCGCAGCAACCAACCUCGUUGAGUCGCUAGAUGACGCCCUUGUAAGGCCUGGGCGUUUUGACCGUCAAGUUCAUGUUCCGCUUCCAGAUGUUGUGGGUCGACAGCAGAUCCUGGAGGCACACUUGUCAAAGGUGUUGAAAGCCAAGGGUUUGGAUGUGAUGACUAUCGCGAGGGGGACGCCUGGGUUCUCAGGUGCAGAUCUUGCAAGCCUAGUGAAUGACGCCGCUCUCAAGGCUUCCAGGGAUGGAGCAGGUGCUGUUGGGAUGGAUCACCUCUAG
rnacentral:rRNA from 1 species